ACACAUGAAGAAAGACAUUCAGAAUAUAAUGAUGUAAGUUCAGAACACCUUGCAACAAAAGGUACGAAUGAAUUUGUUGCAUCAACUCCUUCAAGAGCACAUGAACAUACUGCCAUAGUGACUAAACAUGAGAUAGAAAUGACAACAGAAGUUCCUCGAACAGAAUGUACAACAGAAAUUGAGAUACUGAUACCAGAAGAUAAAACAACACCAAGCCAAGAAACAGAGGGAUCACAGCCUACAGAUGAAGACGGUUGCUUUGGAUUAAUUCAUCGCACCGGCUCUGGGUUGAAAAGAUGCCAGGAGAAGACGAUGAAAAUUAAUGAUUUAAGGUCAGAACAUCUUGCAACUGAAGGAACAAAUACAUUAGUUACAGCAACCACAUCUAGAAAACAUGCAGAGGAUUUAAUCAGGAUUGAACAAGAGAAAAUAGUGACAACAGAGACUCUUGAAACAGAACGUACAACAGAAAUUGAGCUACAAACUCCUGAUGAUAAAACACCUUUGGAGAGAACAGAUAUAACACGUGAAGAAAGACAGCCAAAAUAUGCUGAUUUUAUUUCAGACAAAACCGAAGCAAAAGAUACAAAUGAACUAGUGACACCAAACCCUUCCAGAAAAUCUGCAGAAGACUUCACAGUGACCAGACAAGAGACAGUAAUGACAACAGAUACUCUUGAAACAGAACGUACAACAGAAAUUGAGUUACAAACACCUGAAGAUAAAACACCAGUGGAGAGAACAGAUACCACACAUGAAGAAAGACAUUCAGAAUAUAAUGAUAUAAGUUCAGAACACCUUGCAACAAAAGGUACGAAUGAAUUUGUUGCAUCAACUCCUUCAAGAGCACAUGGACAUACUGCCAUAGUGACUAAACAUGAGAUAGAAAUGACAACAGAACUUCCUGAAACAGAAUGUACAACAGAAAUUGAGAUACUGAUACCAGAAGAUAAAACAACACCAAGACAAGAAACAGAAGGAUCACAGUCUACAGAUGAAGACGGUUGCUUUGGAUUAAUUCAUCGCACCGGCUCUGGGUUGAAAAGAUGCCAGGAGAAGAUGAUAAGAAUUAUGUCAUACAAUACUACACCAAAACCACAAGAGUUUUCAACUGUGAAACAUAAGCAAGAGACAACAGAGCUAUCUUUCAUAUCGCAGAAUGCACUGCAACCAUCAUCUCUCAGUAAAUAUCAGAGUUCUAAACAAAUUACCCAAAAUAAUAUGGAUAAAGUUGCUGAAGAUGAAAAUAGCCACUUCUACUAUUUCAAUGGCAAGUUAAAAAGAGUUGGAAAUCAUGCAUUGAGACAUGAGUAUGAUAGCUACACUUACACUAACCAGACUAUAGGACAAUCAUAGUAUUCUUGCAGUACAACUUUAAUUAAAAAAUUAUGUAAUGUGGAAUUAAUAAUCAACGACCCACAGUUGGUCGCAUUUUCUCUUACAUUACAUUUUCAUAGAGAUCAAAUCACAGUAUGGACCGUCAGUUUUCCAACCAUGUGUCACUUCAUAUUAAACAAGCAAUGUUAUAAUUGUAAAUAUAAUUCUAAAGUAAGUUUAUGGCAGC
ensembl:lncRNA